CGACUCUGGUUCUCUGCAUUACGCACAAGCCUUUCGCCUUUUACUAAAGACUUCCGUGGAGAGGAACACUUACGAGUUCAACAUAUUUUUGGAAGGGCUUUGCUUCUGGCAGAGCC
rnacentral:snRNA from 1 species